rnacentral:misc_RNA from 1 species
CGUAUGUAAGUACCACGGGUCUGAUCGGACAGAGGAAUUUCUAUAAACAAUGAAUUUAUGAUGUGAUUUCGGGAAGUUAUUGACAUGGCGGUAGCGUAAUGUCUGUAGAAACCAAAUGUACAUACUCUAAGGAACAAGCCAAAUUGAUCUGUCUAACAUGGACCAAAACGGCUAUACGAGAGAAAAGUCCUUGGCUACUAUGAAGUCAACUUGGCCAUCGUCUACAGACGCAGUGCUUAUCUCACGAGCUAAGUUGAACGGCCAACCAAAAUAUGGCAAGCCAACUCAGCAGCCGAAAAGACCGAAGAAGCCACCGAUUGCUGUUCGCCCAAAACGAGCUCUGCUUUGUUUAACUCUAGGAAAUCCUAUACGAAGUGCUGCCAUCAGUCUUGUAGAAUGGAAGCCGUUCGAUGUUAUGAUAUUAAUAACUAUUUUUGCAAAUUGUGCGGCACUAGCCGCUUACCAACCGCUUCCUGAACAAGACAGUAGUUCAGUCAACGAGGAUUUGGAAGUAGCUGAAUAUGUAUUUUUAGGAAUUUUUACAUUUGAAGCCAUACUUAAGAUCAUAGCAUAUGGAUUUGCUGCGCAUCCUGGAGCAUAUCUUAGGAAUGGAUGGAAUAUUUUAGAUUUUGUAAUUGUUGUUGUAGGACUUGCAACUAUUCUAGUGAAGACACUAAACGUCCAAAGUUUUGAUGUCAAAGCCCUGAGAGCAUUUAGGGUUCUCAGGCCUUUACGCCUUGUAUCUGGUGUACCUAGUUUACAAAUUGUGCUUAACUCUAUAAUCAAAGCUCUUAUACCACUUUUUCACAUUGCCUUGUUGGUAGUGUUUGUAGUUAUUAUCUAUGCUAUUAUUGGUGUUGAGCUAUUUAUGGGCAAGCUUCAUAAAACCUGUUAUGAUAAUGUCACAGGUCAAUUAACAAAUGAUGAACCACAUCCUUGCAGUACAGACACAGAAGGGUAUUCUUGUUCACAGUCAGGUGAAGGCCAAGUGUGCCUUGCUAAAUGGGAAGGGCCUAACUAUGGUAUUACCAAUUUUGAUAACAUUGGACUGGCUUGUCUUACAGUCUUUCAAUGUAUAACACUUGAAGGAUGGACAGACGUUUUAUAUAGUAUUAACGAUGCUGUGGGUAAUUCCUGGCCAUGGCUGUACUUUGUAACUCUCAUUAUUUGGGGAUCUUUUUUCGUCCUCAAUCUUGUUCUGGGUGUUCUUAGCGGGGAAUUUGCAAAAGAGAAAGCAAGAGCACAGAAAAGUGGCGAAUUUCAAAAACUACGAGAAAAACAACAAAUUGACGAAGCGUAUCACGGGUAUUUAGACUGGAUUGCUCGAGCAGAGGAUAUUGAAGGCGAAAGCAGCGGCGAUGAAGAUGAGGAGGGCAAACCAAGUAGAAAAGUCUCUACAAAACGUCGCAUGGAAGAUGGUGAAUUGACGCCAAACGAAGAGAAUGUGGAGAGCACCACCACGUUAGACCAAGGAGGCUUUUGGCAACACAAUAAGAAAGUCAUCAAGAAAUUUCACCAUCGAUUAAGAAGAAAAUGUCGAAUAGCUGUCAAAACCCAGACAUUUUACUGGACGGUUAUAGUAGUUGUCUUUUUGAACUCCCUGACGCUUGCAUUGGAGCACUACAAUCAACCGGAAUUUCUUACUCAAUUUUUAGAUAAGGCAAAUAAAUUAUUUUUAGCGCUAUUUACAUUAGAGAUGGUGAUUAAGAUGUAUUGUCUGGGAUUCCAUGGUUAUUUUGCUUCGUUGUUCAAUAGAUUUGACUGCCUGGUUGUGAUCAGCAGUCUCUUGGAGUUAGCUUUAACAGAAACACUGGAAAAGCGUCCUAUUGGUAUCAGUGUUCUGCGUUGUGUGCGUCUUCUUAGAAUAUUUAAAGUAACAAGAUAUUGGAGUUCUCUUAGUAAUUUGGUAGCAUCUCUUCUGAACAGCAUGAAAUCUAUAGCCGGAUUAUUGUUGCUUCUCUCGCUAUUCAUGCUCAUCUGUGCUCUGCUGGGUAUGCAGAUCUUUGGUGGAAAGUUCAAUCUAGAUGACGUAGAGGUACCUAGAAGUAAUUUUGACUCUUUCUGGCGUGCGUUGGUCACUGUGUUCCAGAUCCUGACAGGAGAAGACUGGAAUUCUGUAAUGUACAUUGGUAUACAAGCUUGGGGCGGAAUCACCGAUCAUUCAUCUGUCAUACCUAUUUUAUAUUUUAUAUUUCUUGUUAUCGUUGGAAACUAUAUUUUACUCAAUGUUUUCUUGGCCAUCGCCGUCGACAACUUAGCAGAUGCAGAAAGUCUAACAGAAAUGGAGAAUGAAAAGAUGAAGAAGAAAGAAGAAGCAAAAGCGAAAGAGUGGGAAAGUUUACGAGACGAAGAGUCGAGAAGUGGAGAAACUGGUUCACCGGUUCGAGGGUCAGUAGUAAGAACCUCUCAAGAACUUCAUUCCAAUGGGAACAGUAUACCCAAGGCGAUAUCUGAAGGUGAUAUUGAAGCUCAGUCAAAUUCAAAGGGUUCAAAAGCAACCUUAGAUCGAUCGACCCUUUCAGUAAGAAGUGCAACGUCAACAGAAGAAAACCUGGACCGUGAGCCCAUGCCACCAGAUAGUUCCAUGUUCGUUUUUUCGGAUACCAACAGGUUCCGUAUAAUGUGCCAUAGAAUCGCCACCAAUAUGUACUUCGUUAAUUUUAUCCUGAUACUCAUCAUCAUUAGUAGUGCCUUGUUGGCUGCUGAAGACCCUCUUAAUGCCAACUCCGAGAGAAACCAAGUGCUGAAUUACUUUGACUAUUUUUUCACGGCUGCCUUCACCAUUGAGAUCUCAGUUAAGAUGGUCGCCUAUGGUGUGUUUCUUCAUAAAGGCUCGUUCUGUCGUAGUGCCUUCAACCUACUUGAUUUCCUGGUCGUUGCAGUAUCUAUUCUGUCUAUUGCUCUAAGAGGGUCUAAGUCAUCGCAGAUCUCGACAGUGCGAAUUCUCAGGGUCCUGAGGGUCCUUCGUCCAUUGAGGGCCAUCAACAGAGCCAAGGGACUCAAGCACGUGGUUCAGUGCGUAUUCGUUGCUGUAAAGACUAUUGGUAACAUCAUGUUGGUCACAGUCCUGUUCAACUUCUUGUUCGCUGUCAUUGGGGUACAACUGUUCAAGGGAACGUUUUUCUACUGUACUGAUGGUGAGAAGAUUACAAAAGAAGCCUGCAGGGGAGAGUACAUAGAAUUCAAGGGUCCUGGACUCACAAAUCCUGUGACAAAACAGAGAGAAUGGAAGUUUCGCGAAUUCAAUUUUGACAACGUUGGCAACGCCAUGAUGACCCUCUUCACAGUCAUGACUUUUGAAGGAUGGCCAGGUAUCUUAGAGAACUCCAUGGACUCUACAGAUAUCGACCAAGGUCCGUUCUUGAAUAACCGUCCCUGGGUGGCUGUCUACUAUGUCAUCUAUAUCAUCAUCAUCGCCUUUUUCAUGGUCAACAUAUUCGUUGGUUUUGUUAUCGUCACAUUCCAGAACGAGGGUGAAGAGGAAUAUAAGGAUUGUGAACUAGAUAAGAACCAGAGAAAAUGCGUGGAGUUUGCCCUGAAGGCGCGUCCCAUUUGCCGAUACAUCCCCACCCAUCGGCUACAAUUCCAUGUGUGGCGAGUAGUAACAUCACAACCCUUUGAGUACCUGAUAUUUGCAUUUAUUACUGGCAAUACCAUUCUGCUUAUGAUGCAGUAUUUUAACGAGCCGAAGCUGUACACCAGGGUCUUAGAUGGUUUUAAUAUCGGCUUUACGUCUGUUUUCUUACUGGAGUGCAUCCUUAAACUCUUUGCCUUCAAACCAAAGAAUUAUUUCCUGGACAGAUGGAAUCUGUUUGAUUUCGUAGUGGUCGUGGGUAGUGUAGUUGACAUCACCAUGAACGAAGUAUCGCAUCAGCCUGUUGUUCCCACCUUGUCAUCUCCGGACAGGUAUAGUGGAAUGGCCAUAGGAGGGCCAAAGAGGGACGACGACUACAGCAGGAAUUCAAAAAUACAUAAAUUCAGCGAACAGAUGUUUGCCUUUGGGUUUUUCCGUCUGUUUCGAGCUCUUCGUCUGGUCAAGCUGUUAAACCAAGGCUCUGGUAUCAAGACCUUACUAUGGACUUUCAUCAAAUCCUUCCAGGCUUUGCCAUAUGUUGGUCUUCUUAUUAUCAUGACCUUCUUCAUCUAUGCUGUGGUUGGCAUGCAGAUGUUUGGACGAAUAGCGAUAGACGAUGAUACACACAUAAAUAGAAACAACAACUUCCAGACUUUCCCGCAGNCGUUGAUGGUGCUCUUCAGGUCAGCCACAGGAGAAAACUGGCAAUUGAUCAUGUUAGCUUGUUCGAGCUCACCUGAUGUCAAGUGUGAUGUGAAUGCAGAACCUCAAGAAGAGAAUGGUCUUUGUGGGACGUCCUUCUCUUUCUUCUAUUUCGUCUCCUUCUACGUCAUCUGUUCUUUCUUGAUUAUCAAUUUAUUCGUUGCUGUUAUAAUGGAUAAUUUUGACUAUCUGACGCGCGAUUGGUCAAUUCUUGGCCCCCACCAUCUGGAUGAGUUCGUAAGGGUGUGGUCUGAGUACGACCCUGAAGCAAGUGGUUGUGUCAAGCAUUUGGACAUUGUUACUGUAUUAAAGAGAAUUGCCCCUCCUCUUGGAUUCGGGAAGUUCUGUCCUCACAGAGAAGCCUGCAAGCGUCUAGUAAGCAUGAACAUGCCGUUAAACAGGGAUGGAACUGUGAACUUCAACGCUACACUCUUUGGUCUAGUUCGAACAUCACUGAACAUCAAACGACCUGAAGGUAAGGGCUCGAUCGAGAAGGCAAAUGAGGAGAUGCGAGCGAUCAUAAUGAAAGUCUGGUCAAAAACAUCGCCGGAAUUCCUGGACACAAUCGUCCAACCCCCUGGCGGAGACGACGAGGUAACAGUAGGCAAGUUUUACGCCACGUACCUUAUCCAGGAUUACUUCAGGCGGUUCAAGGCACGGCAACGUGCAGAGGACAUGGAGCACAAAGACAGCAAUAGUACCCAGGCUCUACAGGCUGGUCUGAGAACUCUUCAUGGACUGGGCCCUCAGUUACGAAGAGCCAUUUCCGGUCAACUGGACGAUGAUGACGUAGGACUGUUCUUAAAGGAAGAUGUCCAGCAAAAGUCGCAGCACAAACGGUUCUGGGAAAGUCUAAAGAAUGCGGUUACUCCAUCGCCGCGACACAGCCGACCAAACAGUUUCCGCCGUCCAGGUUCGAUCCGUCUGUCAGCAUUAAUCAAGAAAAGUAAUAACAAUACUCCAGAAUCUCAGAGGAAGGCUUCACUGCCUGCUACCUUGACCGUUCUACAGCCGUCCAUGUCUCCUGACAGGCAACUAUUGGUGCCACCAUUCAGUGAUUCGGACAUGACUGCAAAUGAAAGCGAUACUGAACAAGAGAAACAACGCAAUGAGCCUCCCCGUGACUACUAUCGACAACCGUUAAAAGGAGCAAAGAGUUUCCCGUUAUCUGUAACAGCUAAUGGAGAUCUAAGACCUUCAGUGCCAUUAGAAACAAGAGAACGUAGCAAAAGUGAGAUUUUACCAAGAACUCCUUCACAAGGUUCGGAUCAUCUACAGCCUGCAGAACUUGAUAGAAAUAAAUCAAGUAGUUCUCAAGGUCUAGUGGGCCAAGUAUUGAGCAGUGAGGGACUCCCCAUUGACGACGGAGAUACAAUAGUGCGUGUAGUUGAGCAAGAAAUUGCUGAUGCUUUUGACAUUUCGACUGAUCAAUUAAACGAUGCCGCCGAGAGACUACUUUCAGAACUCCAAACCACGUUAGGGGAUGAGGAAGAUGGACAACAUGAAACAGAAACUCCUGUUGUUAAAACUGACGAGGAGUCUGAUAGCGAAAGCCCAUCGAGCUUUUGGAGAGAGGGACUUAAAGGGAUCCCAGAUACUUGUAUUGUGAUAACUGACCUUUAGUCAGAGAACAGAAGAUCUGGUGUUAUUAGUGGUGCGACUGGCUACGGCCAUGGUCUAUAAGUACAGAGCAUCGCUUAUUGGUUGCUGUACUUCAAGAUACUUCACAAUAUUUGUUAUUGGAAGAUCUGGUGUUAUUAGUAGUGCGACUGGCAACGGCCAUGGUCUAUAAGUACAGAGCAUCGCUUAUUGGUUGCUGUACUUCAAGAUACUUCACAAUAUUAGUUAUUGCAAGAUCCGGUGUUAUUAGUAGACUGGCUACGACCAUGGUCUAUAUGUACAGAGCAUCGCUUAUUGGUGCUUUACUUCAAGCAUGUAUUUAUUUAUCUUGGUUGAUUGCGAUGGCAUGGCUUUCUGUGUUGGCCACGAAAGGCAACUUUGUACGUGGUUUUUCUCACGGAGAACCAUUUGUGGUCCAUUUCUUGAGCGGAUUCAUUUUAUAUUCAUCAUGAAAGAUGAUUGGUAGAUCAAACAAGAUUUAAGACUUAGCAAUAACUAUUGCAUAUAUGCACCAUGGCACGAACAGGAACAAAGAACCUACUGUGUUAUAUUGGUAUAGUGCGGUGCGACGAAUCUUGAAUAAUUUAUAAUAAUUGGUGCAUACAACAGGAAUGGAAUCAGCCCAGUAGGGAGAUCAAUUAAUUUAGCUUGGUAUUGCAAGGUGCUAUCGACCGGCUACAGAACGUUUUGUGGCCCGUCAAGUUGGAUGCGCACGCAACAAUGAAAAAAAGGUCAAUUUCUUUUGUGUUUCAUGUUACUCCUCGCAUUGAAGAUAAUUUUGAGAAGGGUGCAUUCGGGCUUGUUAUGCAGCAUGCAACAAAUCCUUUACCAAUCGUUUUUCAAAUAGCUGUAUACGCAGUAGGCGGGAAAUAUGAUGAUCUUGCCCAAUCACGUGACCUGGAUGAGUUAGUAUUUUUUUGUAGCUGGUUAUUUAUUCAUCCUAUGACUGAUGGUUAAUAGAUUUUUUAUUGUAGAGCAUUUCCUACUCGGCUGUAAAUACAAAUUAUUUUGUACCAGUCCUGCCUUAGAGGCUUUGUGGAAGACUGCUUGAAUAUAAAGUGAAAAGGUAUAUGGAAAUAAAGCUAUUUUCUACAAACUU